UUCGAUAUCCUAUAUUUUAUAUAAUAAUUCAACUUUGUACCCUUUUUAAGUAAUAUUACAAGUUUAUUUUUCAUAUUUUUGGUGUAUGACAUUAUGAAACGAGAAUAAACAAGACAAUCUAUCGAAACGUUGUAUUCAUCAAACAAUACAAUAUAAUAUAACGUAAUACGAUACAUUAUAAAACAACAUGUAACAACAAUACAAUCCACUUAAUUAAUUCUUAGGAGGUGGUGCGGCGAAGAAUGGAAUGGAUGAGAUAGAAGGGAAUAUUGUUGGGAAGGAAGAAGGCAUUGGUGGCAUUGCAAAUUUUGGUAUCCCUGCAGGAAUUGUAAUUGGAACACUUGGAAUUGGUGGCAUUCCUUGUGGAAUUGUGGGAAAAUAUGGAAUGCUUGAGCCAGCAGGUUGAUUGUUGGAUUCUUGAUUAGAAUAUGAU
rnacentral:lncRNA from 1 species